CACUCUCCUGAAUAGGCUACCAGGCAUUACCUGCAUGCUGUGCUCCUGUGGAGAGAUGGCAGUAAUAUUGGCUAAGAUAAACUGGAGCUUCUGUGAAUGAAGCAUAAAUGCAGUGAAGUGUGUGGAGCCGGAAGAUUUCAUGUUUUCUACAGACCAAAAGAGAUGCAAAGCCAUGGAUAAUUAAUGCUGCUAGAUGGAGCUGGUUCACUGUAGAUAAAAUCUCCUCCCUACUACAUGGCUAUGGACCUAAGACCAAGGGACUCGAGAAGACCCCCCAAUGAUGGUGAGUGCCUUGACCCUCUGGUGGCUGUAUAUUAUCACGGCCUCCUUGAACUGGACUGAAUACAGAGCCCAUCAUCAGAACAUCAGUGCACAAGGUGCCUGUUCUGAAUGUGGCAGAGGCCACUUCCAGCGGGACAGAACGCAGCAGUGAAGGGGAGAGAGCUGAAGACUCUGAGCAGCAUCCCAGGGGCCAAGGUCCAUGGCCUUUCUUCUACCAAAGAUGCUUUGUGAGAGGACCUUGGCCUCCCAAUCUGCUGUAGCUUAUCGAGGUCACUAAUGGGACAGAAGCCAAAGAGAAAGCUCCACUGGAGGGGGACUAAUGGCAGGAAGAUGAACGGAUCUUCUCAUCCCAGAUUCCAGCUCAGGAACAGAAAGCCUUUCUAUCCUAGACGACUUCAGCAGCCUAACACAGGAGAAGAUGAAAGAUCCAAGCCCAGCCAAGGCCCAACUGAGAAGAAGCUAUUUUCUAGAACCUCCUGCAUCUGGGUUAAUUCCAAAAAUUAACUUUUUCUAGGCUAAUCUCUUGACCCUAUUUCCAUCGGUCACUAUUUUGUGGUUAAACUGUUUUAUCUGAAUGAAUCUUAAUAACU